UACGUAGGGUGCGAGCGUUAAUCGGAAUUACUGGGCGUAAAGCGCGCGUAGGCGGAUCGCUAAGUCAGGGGUGAAAUCCCAGGGCUCAACCCUGGAACUGCCUUUGAUACUGACGAUCUGGAGAUCGGGAGAGGUUGGUGGAAUUCCGAGUGUAGAGGUGAAAUUCGUAGAUAUUCGGAGGAACACCAGAAGCGAAGGCGGCCAACUGGCCCGAUACUGACGCUGAGGCGCGAAAGCGUGGGGAGCAAACAGG
rnacentral:rRNA from 1 species